rnacentral:tRNA from 1 species
CAUUAGAUGACUGAAAGCAAGUACUGGUCUCUUAAACCACAUUAUAGUAAUUAGCGUCUACUUCUAAUGA